rnacentral:lncRNA from 1 species
AAAGAGUUUGGUUUCAUGAACUACUGGAGGAGCAAAUAGCAAGCGGCUUCCACCGACGUACAUGGUGAGCUAACGGACAAACUGGCUACAGCAGGACAGCUGUUCAUAUUAAGAUCCUCAUGCAAAAUGCAUGGACCAUAUGGAAGAUUGUCAGGGGGUUUCUUAUACUGUGAAGAUGUCUUUUCCCCUCUAGCAACUUACUUUAAUGCAUGUUUUGCAUCUACUAAUGGAUGCUAACAUGUCAAGGGUCUGCCUGAAACAUUGAUGUAAUGUUUUUAUUUUUAUUUAUUUAUUUAUUUUUUAAGUGGAUUAGAUUUGUGUGCAUAAAAAACUGCAUGGUGAAUCUAAAUACACAUAUAGCCAUCCAUUUAACAGCUGAAAAACUGCAAAACACUUGUCUACAAUGCGUAAAUGUCCAUGAUCUAACCUGGCAUUGUUAUAACUUGACAUUACAUAAAAUAAAUGCUCUAUCA